rnacentral:rRNA from 1 species
AAUCCAUAGGUUAAUGAGGCGAACCGGGGGAACUGAAACAUCUAAGUACCCCGAGGAAAAGAAAUCAACCGAGAUUCCCCCAGUAGCGGCGAGCGAACGGGGAGGAGCCCAGAGCCUGAAUCAGCAUGUGUGUUAGUGGAAGCGUCUGGAAAGGCGCGCGAUACAGGGUGACAGCCCCGUACACAAAAGCGCAUGUGCUGUGAGCUCGAUGAGUAGGGCGGGACACGUGGUAUCCUGUCUGAAUAUGGGGGGACCAUCCUCCAAGGCUAAAUACUCCUGACUGACCGAUAGUGAACCAGUACCGUGAGGGAAAGGCGAAAAGAACCCCGGCGAGGGGAGUGAAAAAGAACCUGAAACCGUGUACGUACAAGCAGUGGGAGCCCCACCACCAAAGCAUUCUCUGGUGUUGAAGGCCCUGCAAAGCAGCAUCG